rnacentral:rRNA from 1 species
AGGACGAACGUUGGCGGCGUGCCUUACACAUGCAAGUCGUACGCGAAAGGGGAAUCCAGCUUGCUGGAGACCCCCGGUAGAGUGGCGAACGGGAGCGUAACACGUGAGGAACCUGCCUCGGAGUGGGGAAUAACCCAGAGAAAUCUGAGCUAAUUCCGCAUGAUGCAGCGGCCCCGCAUGGGGACAGUUGUUAAAGACCGCCUCUGCUUGCAAGCGGUCGCUUCGAGAUGGUCUCGCGGCCUAUCAGCUAGUUGGUGAGGUAAUGGCUCACCAAGGCGACGACGGGUAGCCGGCCUGAGAGGGUGUCCGGCCUCAUUGGGACUGAGACACGGCCAGACU